rnacentral:lncRNA from 13 species
UAGCAAGAUAUGCAAAAGGUAUUAAACACAAAAAUUAGCGAUUUCAAUUUUGAAAUGUCCUUGCUUUGUAUUCCACUAAUUUGACAGCUCAUGUAACUACUCUUCAUUUUCCAGCCAUUCGAGUUUCAUAAACCAGAAAUCCCAGGUUUAUCUACAAUAAGAAUCCUAGACCGGUCAGGGCAUAUUUCUGUCGCAAUGACGGCUAACACAGUAGGAGAAUCAAUUUUGCCUGCUUGCUGCGUUGAGAAGCCCUCUGCAGUUUCUUUCCCGGAACCAGCGGACACAUUUUCACAUGGUGGCCACCAGGUGGCAGCAGAAAGAAUGUAUUCAUCAGCGUGAUGCAACUGUGGGAAUAGAUGGGGAUACUGAAUAUGUCAGUUCCUGCACAAACCAUUAAAAAACUCUCUUCGUAGUUCCUUCUUCUGAAAAUUAGUGCUUUGUGGUAAGUAUAGUUUCAUGAAACCCAAGUCAAAAUUUUAAGAUUCCUUACUUCUGACGUGAAGCCCUAUAUUCUUAUUUUUAACAAGAUAUCUAGGUGAAUCUGCAAAUAGACCAGAUUGGUCACCACUCUUCCAGUACCUUUCAGCACAGCAAAUCUGAUGCAACUCUCCUGAAACUGUACAGGUGAGUCAGGCUAAGAAUGUUUCAUUCUUUAGGAGAGCAAAGGUAAAAUGCUGGCUACUGACUCAUUGUCAACAUGAUCCUCUACUGAAUUAUGGUAGACCCCAUUGGGUCCUUUAUCAGUAUAAAUAAUCUUUCUGCA